AACAAAUUGGUCAAGUUAAUAUAUUACAGUAUAAAAGAGGGUUAGGGAGUAAUAAUUGUUAGGAAAAUUUAUGUUUUUUUUAGAGGUAGAAUUUAUAUAAAAAAAAUAAUCUAUGAUUUUCUUUUAUCUUGAGGCCCUGAAAUCUUAGUAAGAGACCGGGAUUAGAUACCCCGUUAUUUAAGACUUAAAGUUCAGUUAAUUUAAAUUUACUAGGGUACUACGAGAGGCAGAAAUUUUAGUUUUGCUGUAUUCUUAAAACUCAAAAGACUUGGCGGUGCCUCAAUCCUUUCAGGGGAACCUGUCCUGUAAUCGAUGACCCACGUUUUACCUUACCUACUCUUGAAUUUUCUAUGAUUUUUUGGGAUAAGCAGCCUGUAUACCGUCGUCGAUCAGGUAAUCCCUAGAGGGAAAAGAAGCUACCGAGAGAAUAAAUAGCUAUAGUUAAUUUGUUUAAAUGAAAAAAUAUUAAUUAUAAUAAUGUUUUUUAAUGUAUUUAAAAUUUAGUUAAUUAUUUUUAAGACAGAUCAAGGUGCAGCUAAUGGGUAGGCUAGAGAUGGGUUACAAUAAUAAUUUAUUAAAACGGAUUUAUAUUUGUAAUAAUAGAGUUUAAUGAAGGAGGACUUGAAAGUAAUGAAUUUAGAAUAGAGAGCUUUCGUGAAAUUGGCUCUGGGGUGUGU
rnacentral:rRNA from 1 species